rnacentral:rRNA from 1 species
GUCUGGCGCGGCGGACGGAGUGGUCGGAAAAGGUAGGGCUUCCCGAGACGGGGGCCGUCCGACUCUCCGCCAUCCGUCGUGCCCGACGCAUUUGUCUCUCGUCCGAAGGACGCUGCAGCCGGUCGGGCAGCGCAAGCGUGACGGCCUGAGGGUCGGGAAAUGGCAGGUGGCCGGUGGCGAGCCUCGUGUUCGUCGCCGGUUGUUAGCCGUCCCGUCAGUGGCACGUCGCUCGACCGAGGUGUCGCGAGUCCCCCCGGGGACUCCACGUCUCCUCCCCACGGAUUGCGAUCGAGACGUCGCAGGCUUCGUAACCCGCGUUGUCGCACCGCCUCGCGGUGGGCUCGUGGUCGUUCGAUACCGUGGGCGAUGUCCGUACCGCAAGAGGCCGGAGGCUUGCAGCGAGUAGGUCGGUCACCCACCCGACCCGUCUUGAAACACGGACCAAGGAGUCCAACAUGUGCGCGAGUCAGUGGGUCUUGAUUAGGCCCACGGGCGCAAUGAAAGCGAAGGCGCGCUUCUCGCGUGCCGAGUUGGGAUCCCCUCCCUCGGGGGGGGCGCACCAACGACCCGUCCCGUCCGGUUCGCCGGUGGGAUGGAGUGUGAGCGUACACGUUGGGACCCGAAAGAUGGUGAACUAUGCCCGGACAGGACGGAGGCCAGGAGGGAAACUCUGGUGGAGGUCCGCAGC